rnacentral:rRNA from 1 species
GAUGAACGCUGGCGGCGUGCCUAAUACAUGCAAGUCGAGCGAACAGACGAGAGUGCUUGCACUCUCUGACGUUAGCGGCGGACGGGUGAGUAACACGUGGGUAACCUACCUAUAAGACUGGGAUAACUUCGGGAAACCGGAGCUAAUACCGGAUAAUAUCUAGCUUCGCAUGAAGCAAUAGUGAAAGACGGUUCUGCUGUCACUUAUAGAUGGACCCGCGGUGUAUUAGCUAGUUGGUGAGGUAACGGCUCACCAAGGCAACGAUACAUAGCCGACCUGAGAGGGUGAUCGGCCACCCUGGGACUGAGACACGGCCCAGACUCCUACGGGAGGCAGCAGUAGGGAAUCUUCCGCAAUGGACGAAAGUCUGACGGAGCAAUGCCGCGUGAGUGAAGAAGGUUUUCGGAUCGUAAAACUCUGUUGUAAGGGAAGAACAAGUACGUUAGUAACUGAACGUACCUUGACGGUACCUUACCAGAAAGCCACGGCUAACUACGUG